rnacentral:rRNA from 1 species
CAGCCGCCACGGUAAUGCGGAGGGGGCUAGCGUUGUUCGGAAUUACUGGGCGUAAAGCGCACGUAGGCGGCUUUUUAAGUCAGAGGUGAAAGCCCGGAGCUCAACUCCGGAACUGCCUUUGAGACUGGAAGGCUUGAACGUCGGAGAGGUGAGUGGAAUUCCGAGUGUAGAGGUGAAAUUCGUAGAUAUUCGGAAGAACACCAGUGGCGAAGGCGGCUCACUGGACGACUGUUGACGCUGAGGUGCGAAAGCGUGGGGAGCAAACAGGAUUAGAUACCCCUGUAGUCCCUGUCUCUUAUAC